rnacentral:rRNA from 1 species
AGUGAACGCUGGCGGUAGGCCUAACACAUGCAAGUCGAACGGCAGCACAGUAAGAGCUUGCUCUUACGGGUGGCGAGUGGCGGACGGGUGAGGAAUACAUCGGAAUCUACUUUUUCGUGGGGGAUAACGUAGGGAAACUUACGCUAAUACCGCAUACGCCCUACGGGUGAAAGCAGGAGCUCUUCGGACCUUGCGCGAUUGAAUGAGCCGAUGUCGGAUUAGCUAGUUGGCGGGGUAAAGGCCCACCAAGGCGACGAUCCGUAGCUGGUCUGAGAGGAUGAUCAGCCACACUGGAACUGAGACACGGUCCAGACUCCUACGGGAGGCAGCAGUGGGGAAUAUUGGACAAUGGGCGCAAGCCUGAUCCAGCCAUGCCGCGUGGGUGAAGAAGGCCUUCGGGUUGUAAAGCCCUUUUGUUGGGAAAGAAAAGCAGCAGGUUAAUACCCCGCUGUUCUGACGUUACCCAAAGAAUAAGCACCGGCUAACUUCGUG